AUGUUUACUUAUUGCAGCACACAGUGUGGAGAACUGGCAAGUGUUAACAUUAUCAGCAGAUAUUAACGUUUUCAUCUUUUAAUACUUGUUAUCAAAAGGAAAGUGACUGUACAUUUUGAUUUUGUGCAAGAUCACUAGUUGGCCAAGAAAUGGUUGAGAUUCUUAGGGGGUAAACAUUUCAGCAUUAUGAGGGCUCCCCUCUGAAGUGGCUGACCCCAGGUGCCCCCAGGAAGGUUCCAGUGUAUCUUUCAGAAGCCAGAACCCUUUCAGGACAUCGCCCUGUACACCUGGGCCCAUCCUUACAUUCUCACUUAUCCCUCUACCUGCCCCUCUAGGAGCUUGGCUGAGAUAAGGGUCUUGGCUCAGCAAACGUGGGUGACAUUUCAGGAGCAGGUAACCUUUGAUGCCGUGGCUGUGGACUUCACCCAGGAUGAGUGGGAGCUGUUGGGCCCUGCCCAGAAGACCCUGUACCACCACGUGAUGCUGGAGAUCUUUAGGCACCUGGUUACCGUGGGGCUUUCGAUCCCCAAGCCAGAUAUUGCUGCCCAGCUAGAACUUGCCAUGGAUGGUGGACAGAGGAUGCUCCCAAAGAUUGCUGCCCAGUCUAGUUGUGGAAGGCGACGCUUCACUGGCCCAUGUUGG